GAUGAAGAACGUAGCGAAAUGCGAUAAGUAAUGUGAAUUGCAGAAUUCAGUGAAUCAUCGAAUCUUUGAACGCACAUUGCGCCCGCCAGUAUUCUGGCGGGCAUGCCUGUUCGAGCGUCAUUUCAACCAUCAAGCCCUGGGCCCCAGGGCUUGCGUUGGGGACCUGCGGCUGCCCGCAGGCCCCGAAAAGCAGUGGCGGGCUCGCCGACGCACCGAGCGCAGUAGCAUUCUCUUCGCUACGGGCGCGCGGCGGGCGCCAGCCGUGAAACCACCCCCUAACUUCUCAAGGUUGACCUCGGAUCAGGUAGGAAUACCCGCUGAACUUAAGCAUAUCAAUAAGCAGAGGA
rnacentral:misc_RNA from 1 species